AAAAAAACAAAUUAAUUCCAGAAUUUUAGUGCAGAUUGGGAAUGCCGCCGUUUUUAACCGCGAAGAAUCCUUUCGAUUGUAUACCAGAUUCCGGCAUUUCAUCUGCCAGCCGAGGCAUCGAUCUUCCGACAGACAGCAUCUGCAAUGGGGCCUGUGUCAUCGGAAAGCGGGACGGGGAACCUGCCGAGGACUGUACGGAACUUUACGAACUUCUCCAUAUUCAGAGGGAACAGUAGCAACGGCGGCGUUGAAUCUGGACAACCGUCGUCCAGCCCAGCCCCUCCCGGGUUUCUUUGAACCAUAUCAGCAGUUGUUUCCUGGUCUCCACCCAAUGCAAGCGUCCAGUUGCAGAAAACAGAGCAGGCGAGUUCCAGUGGAAAAAGUAGGAAAAGAAUCCGCCAUCAGGUUAGUAAUAUAAUUUUUUUUUUAAAAUGUGAUAUGAUACAAAAGCUCAUGAUAAUUUCCAUGGCAAAUGGAUACAAAAUAGAAAGAAGAGGGAGACAAUAAAAUGCAAGUGCCUAGUUGUGUAAGGUAGGUCUAGUUGUUGCCUUAGCUCCAGGUGCGAGUGUUUAUUUCUUGCCAAAUAAGAUGGACACUCACAAGGUUACUCACAAGACUCAAGACACCCGAUUAUUACAAAAAACAUGGACAAUCAACUUUAGUUAGAUAAAUUUUCUAGUUUUGGUUCCACCCCUUCUUAUCUUAUUGUACUAUUGUCAUUAGUUAUUAGUCCAUA